UGGCCCCUGUUCCAGCCAGGAGCAGAGGUGCUGUGCCUUCUGCCCUGGGCACAGGGACCUGCCACUGUCACCAGCUCUUUCCACAGCUCGUCCUGGUGCUGGGCCUGCCCUGAAGGGAUGGGCACAGGAGGGGAGUGGCUGUGAAACCCAGGGCGGGGCUUUCACAUUGACUGCUCUCAGUGAGUGUCUGGAAAUGACAGUUUUCCAUCUUCUGCCAAGCAAGGCUGCCAGUGUUUCUGUGUUUGUAUUGAUGAGAAGGGUAGAGUGUGGGUUUGUGGUUUCAUGGAGAGCAAAGCAGUGUCUGAAUUCAAUUGAUUUCAAUUUUUUCUUUCAUGGUAUUUUGUCUGUGAAAAGUCUGAAAAUCAAGGACAUCUUUCUGGAAUCUGCUGUCUGUGACCUCAAUACUGGCCGAGUGACCCUUCAGAACCUUGACCUGACUAAGCGAGCGCAUGAACUCUUUUAGGUCUUUUUAGAGGGAGAAAAUAAACCAAACCCAAACCUGUUUGUUGAAUCUUUGGAAAAUCUGACUUAUCCAAGACAGUAUCAUUUGGAAUGUACAGAUCUUCUGUUCAUCAUUCAUUCAGGCGCCUGUGAAGCCAGAGCAGCAAUGCUCUCUUCAAAGAUUUAACACAGCUGAUUGACAUCAAGUCGCUUGAAAUUUUGGCCUCAACUUUCAGUGAUAUUUUGAAUAUGACAAUUUCCGUUUCAGGGAGGAGCAGAAUGCAUUUGCACAGUUCCAUUAUGGUUUGUUUUUUUUUUUUUUCAACACACAGAUUCUCUCAUUUCCCCUUCUGUAGCCUUAAGCAUUAAAGUCAACCAUCUGCUUUGGAAAUGCAGCUGAAAUGUAGCUCUUUCUGCUAUUUUGCUUAACUUUUUUUUAGGGGCUGAAAAUAUUCAGUUGUAAUUUGCUUUACAUUCUUUGUAUUAUUUGCCACUGUGGCAUUGGAAAAAUUCACAGGAGUUUCUCCCAUCUUGGAUUUCAAAAUAAUUUAAAAUAUUAUUAUAAAGACGAUUUGGCAAUAUUUAAUUUUUGCUUCCUGUGUAACUUUAUUAAAUCUGUGCUUUAAAACAGGUGUCACCUAGCAGGCUUUCUGUUCAAUGACAGCAGUUGCUUUUCAGCAGGCUGAUUUUCCUGUAGGACUAGCCAAGGAAAGUACCUUAGGAAACUGAGUUUUCCACAUUGUUGCAGUGUAGGAAUGGUAUUCCCUAGUUGAGUGCUCACGCUGAUACUCCUCAGAGCACAUGCCCCUCACUGACUACCCCACCACUUUCCCUGUGGCAGGAUGGAGAGAAGAGCACAAAUGGGUAAAGAUCACGGGUUGAGAUAAGAACAAUUUACUAGAAACAGCAGUGAAAAAAGAACACAGACGGUAAUAACAGCACUAAAAGGAGAGUGUACAAGAGGCGAAUGAGUCACACGUGAUCGUUCUCCACACAGAACUUGGCACAGCCCGUGACUUACAGCACACAGGUGGAGGAAGAACAAACCCUUCCAUUUGCCCCUGCCGCGUGGCAGGUGGUAUCCAGUUACCCCAAGGUCCUGGCCGUGCUCCUCUGAGCUGCUGCAAAGAUCACCCUCCUGGCCGGAUCCAGGACACAGGAUCCUUCCUGCGGGUCCUGGCUCUUGCUCUGGGUGACAGACCCCCAUGGCAUCUGCCCCGGCAAAAGGGACUUGAGGACAACCUCUCACUUAUUGACAUCAGCCCCUCUGCCCCUGCCCCAGCUCCCUUUUUGCCUCCAGAAAACUUUGAACAGAAGUAGCACUUAAGUACAGUUCUGCACAUCCUGAACUGGCAGGAAGGUGACCCACAUGUCGCUGUAGGCACAUGUGCAGCAAGGACAAAGAAGGUGUUUGAGGGGCUGGCUCUCAAGGCAUUCACUCAUGCAAUAGGAGCCCUGUUUCUGAGAGGCACAGCCAAGAGUGGAGCAGUCACGCGUGGAGAACGGGGCAUCUCCUGAGCCAGGGAAACCCUGGGGGAGCAGAGAGACGCAGACACCGGGCAGACCCCAAGUGACACCUGCUGCUGGGGCACAGGCACCGCGGGGACAGGCACACUUUGGGGUGAGCUUGCUGUGCUUUACUGGAGUAUGCAGUACACAGGCAUUCUGUUUCUCAGAAAUCAUUAAAUAUGUAUAAAUUGCUGGAGUCUGCACAGUUAGUUUCUGAGGGUCUGCUGGGGAUCUUUAGAGACCCUGGGUGUUCACUGAGCUUUUGGACUUUUGUUGACCUUUCAUUGUGGUCUUCCAUAUAGUAGUCAUUUUCAUCUUGGUUAUCUGAGCUGCAGAAUGUGUUCUUGAGGAAACUGUAUUGCUCUGGCUUGGCUUGGGACAUAGAGGGUUUCAGAGCUUUCAGAGUUCCACUACCCACUCCUUCCUCCUAAACUAUUUGCAACAUAGAUCCUCACACAGAUCCUUUCAAGAUUUGUCUUGGAAGUCUCACUUCUAAAACUAAUUUUCUUUUCUAGGAUAAAAAUGUUUGUUAUUACAAAUAUUUGCAAAACAUCUCAUGAAAGCUGAAAUACAAUGAAUUAUCACACAGAAAAAAAAAUGCAAACAGCAAUAAUUCCAGCACGGGCUAUAAAUACUUCUGUAAGCCUUUAAAGGUCUGGUAGCCAUGAGGAAAGCCAGUCCCACCUACAGUGGGGACUUCUAGUCUUCUCCCAUUCUUACACUCCUUUUUCUGAUUGAUUGAUGAUAUGCCAGAUUGCUGGAUAUCAAAUCAAUUAGCAUUCUUGUAACAAAUCCAGCAAUUUGUAACCUUUACUCAGGGUUCAAGGCAGUAGCUGUCUUUAGCACCACGUCUUUCGUUCCAGGAGUACCACCUGUUACUUUCAGGUUCUGUUCAGGGAUAACCAGUGACCUCCUUUUUGUGCUGAACCAGACAUAACCAUGUUGGGCACAUAAACUGACACUUUUCUUUCCCAUUUAUUUUCAAGUAUAUUCUAUCAAUCAGGACCAUGGUGGUUCCUGCCCUGAGGUGCAUUGACCAUGCCUUGAGUACAUUUUUUAGUUAUUUUUUGAGAAAUACACUCAAAAUACCACAGGGUUCCUUCCUUCGUUCCCAUUCUUUGAGCUAAAUAUGGGGCUACUGUGCAGGGCAAAGGCACUCAUGGAUGAACAGUGCAAAGGGUUCCAUCAAAUCUGGUAUCUCCAGAGUAGGGGUUGUCAUCAAUAACCUUUAAAAGAUAUGGAAAGGCUGUUGGACAUUCCAGAGUCCAGUGUAACAACCUCCAUGGAUUCCUUUCAUGGUUCAUACAAAGGCUUUUCCAACAGUCCCUAACUGGGGCUCCAUAAUCAACACAAACCAGUCAUUCCCAAAAAGGCACGCAGUUCUUUUACAGAACCAUUGCCAGUUCAGAAAUGCUGCUUUUCCAGAAUGGGAGCAAAACUAAUCAGGAUCAUCUUUGCAGAAACGGCCUCUGGCUUCUGACUUUCUCAAUCCUGUGAUGGGCAAGAAGCAGAGGAUUGACCAAGAGCCCAGUGAUGUCCAGCCAGCAGCUGGUGGUGGCCACUCUCCUUCUUUCUUGGACCUGCCUUCCACAUCCUGUUCAAUUUUGAACAUGUCUACAAAUGUCAGAUCCAUUUCCACUUCCACCCCUGAAGAACAACAGAAAAAUAAGGUUCAGACACAUUCUGGAUUGCCAGUGUCUGCCAGGGUGCAGGGGAAGACUCUCAAGUCCAAGGGAGAAGAAGCAGAGGUCAGAGGAGCCCAACAAAACAAUCCAGGUCCUGUGCCUGAGAAGAAGAGGAUGGUGCCUGUGAGACUUGCAGACAUCGACUGGAGCGGCUGCGCUGCUGUUUACGGCCGACCCUACAGGGACAGGGUGAUUCAUCUGCUUGCUCUGAGGGAUUACAAGGAGCCAGAGUUACUUGCUCGGCUGCAGAGAGAUGGAGUCAGGCCAAAGGACAAGGACUCCCUUGGAAAGAUCCUUCAGCAGGUAGCCAACCUGAAUGCAAAGGAGAAUUCCUUCAGUCUGAAAGAACAGCUAUUUCAAACCCUUCAGACUGAUUGGCUGGCUACAGUAAAAUCGAAAGAAAGAGUUUGAAGUUAAUACUUUCUAGGUAAGUUCAGUCUCUUGGGGAAGGAAAAGAGCCUUUUCAGAAAAAAGCCCUGGAAAUAAAGCCUAGAUUCUUACAAUAUGCUGCACCAGCAGAGGCCCACCAGGGUCAUGGAAUCCAACUCCUGGCCCUGCACAGACACCAUGAGAAUCACACCCUGUGCCCAAGAGAGUUGUCCAAACUGUUCUUGAGCUCUUGCUGCAGUGACCACUGGCCUGGGGAGCCUGUUGCAGUGCUCGAGCACCCUCUGGGCCAUGAAUGUUUUCAUGAUAUCCUGCCUAAAGCUCCCUCAACUCUGCUUCAUGUUUUUCCCUUGAGUCCUGACACUGAAGGUCUGUUUUCCCUGCAAGGAAAGAACUAUGACAGUUGAUAUUUAGACUUUUUAACAUGAACUCUUGGACCAUCCAUAGAAAAUCAGCUCCAUCUCAGAACCCCACCAGCAGCAGCCAAGCGACAUCUCCAAGGCCUUCUGAGACAGAUGCUCCAGCAAGACCUGCUCAGGUAUUUUGUGCAUUUUUAACAUUCUGCACUGUGUAUUACAUUUUAGCAGACUUGCUGGUGAUGUAAAAGCUGUGAUGGGAAUGUGCAGGACCAGGCCUGGGCAUGUUUUGCCACACACUGCUGUGACCUCAAGCUUGUGAUAAGAAGAGAGGAUCCAGCAGGGGUGGAGCAGCAUUGUCCUGAUCCAACUUUCUGCUCUGCCUGGAGACUUGAGCUCAGCCCCCACCCUCAACUCAUUCCCUGGACAAGGGCUCAAAGGGCUGGCUCUGCUUGUGUGACAGAACUGCAUGAAAAAUCUCCUGUGCAUAAGAGGCUGCACCAGGUGGGGCAGAUGGGGCCCUCUUGCUCUCUUCUCCCUCUGUCUCUCUGUCACUCUCAUUGUUGACCCCACCUCCGCACUAUCCACAUGGCUGGACAAAACACAGCACCUACGGAAUGGUGCUAUUCCCUCACUCCCUCCUCUGCCUUAAUUUCUCUCCUCCCUCCCUCUGCCUGGGCACAGCACGGCUGUCCUGUUCUACUCCAUCCCUGGCCCUGAGGUUUGCUGUGCCUGUGGGGAGCUUGUGGCCGUCUGUUGUGGCUCGUGAGGCAGCACCUUUGAGAAGCUCCUUGGGAGGAGCUGAGAGAUGACUGAAGGGCCCUGAGCAACAGCAAGGGCUCCUUGGUAACCACUUGUGAAACUCUCUUGUACAAGUUUAAAGACUUGUUAGCCAACAGCUUUUGAGUCUGCGGAGUGGGUAAGCCUGCUGGAUUUAAGACAGCUGUAGCUAAAUGCACAAGAGUUUCUGGACAUGUGACUGGUGUCUGUGUUCAUCCUGAUGAGAAUUCACAACCAACCAUAACAACCUGUACUCAUGGGUUGUAAUAGUGAAGCAUUAAUCUUGUUUUUAAUGCAUAAAACUCUAAAACAGCCAUGUUCCUCUGUAACAAAUUAUGUGGGUGUUUGAUAGCAAAAGCUGAGUCUUUUCCUGGUGUGUGCAAGCAGUAAUUGGGACCUAGUCAAAACUUACCUGGCAUCCCCAUUCUGGGGAGGCUUUGCUGGAGCUGCUGAAGGGAGUGUCUACUUCCCAAAGCCUUUUAGCAGUAGACUUGGAGAAGGAUGUGCUAAGUGCUAAGAUGAGAAAGUAGGAAUGCAGCAGAGCAGAUAUUUACCUGCAGGUCUUCCAGGUUUGACAGUUAUUUUUAAUUUAAAAUAGUGCAUUUUAAAACUUUGCCAAUUCAUAGAUGCUUCUUUUUUAGAAUGGAGAGCAAAACCUGAUUGUGAUCAUAGAAGAAUGAAUUAUUUUGUUUUUGUUGCAGAAACGGCCUCGGGCUUCUGGCUUUAUCAGUCCUGUGAGGAGCAAGAAGCAGAGAACUGAGCAGUAGCCCAGUUACAUCCAGGCAGCAGCUGGUGGCUGCUCUUCUUCCUGAGUGCUGGCUUUGACAUCCCAUUCUACAGGGAUGUCAGAGCCAUCCCCAUGGAAUGGGAUGUCAAAGCCAGCACCCUGCCUCCAAGUCUGGGCUCCAUUUCCCUGCACCCUUUAGGUUCAAAAAAAGACAAAUGUUGGAGUUCUAGAAUGCCAGCACUCAUGUGUAGAGGACUAGCAUGUCCAAAAAGAUGUGAAGAGAACUGGGGAGGCUGAAGCAGUAGUGUCCCUUGGAUUUCAAUGAAGGUAUUAAUGUGCUGCUUUUCCUAACUCCAGUGUGGACAAUGAUGGACUAAAAUUUAAUUAUUAAGAGAAGCCUCUGUUCAAAUUUUGGUGCAAGCAAGACCAUAUUUCAGAGUUAAUACUACAGAUGUUAUUUACAAGUAAUUGUGAACUAGGGAGAUAGAAAGGUAAAGGAGGAGAUGGGCCAGGUGGGGGGAAGUGCUGAGAUGAACACCGA